rnacentral:rRNA from 1 species
UCAAGCUACAAAGGGCUCACGGAGGAUACCUAGGCACACAGAGGCGAUGAAGGACGUGGUUACCUGCGAUAAGUCUCGGGGAGUUGGAAGCACACUUUGAUCCGGGAAUUUCCGAAUGGGGCAACCCCUUGAACGACCAACUGAAUAUAUAGGUUGGUGCGAGCUAACCCAGCGAACUGAAACAUCUUAGUAGCUGGAGGAAGAGAAAGUAAAUAACGACUCCCUCAGUAGCGGCGAGCGAACGGGGAAUAGCCCAAACCGAUAGUCUUGACUAUCGGGGUUGUGGGACAGCAAUAUGGAUCAACAAUUCUAGAAGAAACGUUUGAAUGGCGUGCCAUAGAGGGUGAAAGCCCCGUAAUUGAAAGAUGAGUUGACCUAGCUGUAUCCCGAGUAGCACGGAGCACGUGGAAUUCCGUGUGAAUCUGCGAGGACCACCUCGUAAGGCUAAGUACUACUGUGUGACCGAUAGUGAAACAGUACCGCGAGGGAAAGGUGAAAAGAACCCCGGGAGGGGAGUGAAAUAGAACAUGAAACCGUGAGCUUACAAGCAAUGGGAGCCCGACUAAUCGGGUGACCGUGUGCCUGUUGAAGAAUGAGCCGGCGACUUAUAGGCACUGGCGGGUUAAACCGGAAAUGGUGGAGCCACAGCGAAAGCGAGUCUUAAUAGGGCGUUUGUCAGUGUUUAUAGACCCGAACCCUGGUGAUCUAACCAUGGCCAGGAUGAAGCUUGGGUGAUACCAAGUGGAGGUCCGAACCGACUGAAGUUGAAAAUUCAGCGGAUGAGCUGUGGUUAGGGGUGAAAUGCCAAUCGAACCAGGAGCUAGCUGGUUCUCCCCGAAAUACGUUGAGGCGUAGCGUCUAGUGCUCCAGCAGGGGGGUAAAGCAACCAUUUCGGUGCGGGCUGCGAAAGCGGUACCAAAUCGAUAUGAACUCUGAAUACCCUGUGUGUAACUAGGCAGUCAGACUGUGGGGGAUAAGCUCCAUAGUCAAGAGGGAAACAGCCCAGACCGCCAGCUAAGGUCCCAAAAUUAACGCUAAGUGAUAAAGGAGGUGGGAUUGCCCAGACAACCAGGAGGUUUGCCUAGAAGCAGCCAUCCUCAAAGGAGUGCGUAAUAGCUCACUGGUCGAGCGAUCCUGCGCCGAAAAUGAAUGGGGCUAAGCGUUAUACCGAAGCUGCGGAUAAAUUUAUUUAUGGUAGGGGAGCGUUCUAUGUUGGGUGAAGCGUUAGCGUAAGCGGACGUGGACGGCAUAGAAGUGAGAAUGUCGGCUUGAGUAGCGAAAACAUGGGUGAGAAUCCCAUGCCCCGAAACCCUAAGGGUUCCUCCGGCAGGCUCGUCCGCGGAGGGUUAGUCUGGACCUAAGGCGAGGCCGAAAGGCGUAGUCGAUGGAUAACAGGUCAAUAUUCCUGUACCAGUUAUGUUUUGGGAAGGGGGACGGAGAAGGCUAGCCAGGCCAGAUGUUGGUUACUGGUUCAAGCGUUCAAGGCUUUGAGAGAUGGAGAAAACAUCUUGAGCUGAGGCGUGAGUACGAGCUGCUACGGCAGCGAAGUUGGUGAUGUCAUGCUUCCAAGAAAAGCCCUAUACCCGUUAAGACAUAAAUGCCAGUACCCGAAACCGACACAGGUGGGGUGGUAGAGAAUACCGAGGGGCGCGAGAUAACUCUCUCUAAGGAACUCGGCAAAAUGGCCCCGUAACUUCGGGAGAAGGGGUGCCAGCGAGAGCUGGUCGCAGUGAAGAGGCGCAAGCGACUGUUUACCAAAAACACAGGUCUCCGCUAAGUCGCAAGACGAUGUAUGGGGGCUGACACCUGCCCAGUGCCGGAAGGUUAAGGAAGCUGGUUAGCUUUUAGCAAAGCUAGCGACUGAAGCCCCGGUGAACGGCGGCCGUAACUAUAACGGUCCUAAGGUAGCGAAAUUCCUUGUCGGGUAAGUUCCGACCCGCACGAAAGGUGUAACGAUUUGCGCGCUGUCUCGGAGAGAGGCUCGGCGAAAUAGAAUUGUCUGUGAAGAUGCGGACU